UACAGAGGUCUCAAGCGUUGUUCGGAUUCAUUGGGCGUAAAGGGUGUGUAGGUGGCGCGCUAAGUCGGGUGUGAAAUCUCAGAGCUCAACUCUGAAACUGCACUCGAUACUGCUUUGCUUGAGGACUGGAGAGGAGAUUGGAAUUCACGGUGUAGCAGUGAAAUGCGUAGAUAUCGUGAGGAAGACCAGUGGCGAAGGCGGCCAACUGGACGAAUACUGACGCUGAGAACACGAAAGCGUGGGGGAGCAAACAGG
rnacentral:rRNA from 1 species